rnacentral:rRNA from 1 species
GACGAACGCUGGCGGCGUGCCUAAUACAUGCAAGUAGAACGCUGAAGGAAGGAGCUUGCUCUUUCUGGACGAGUUGCGAACGGGUGAGUAACGCGUAGGUAACCUGCCUGGUAGCGGGGGAUAACUAUUGGAAACGAUAGCUAAUACCGCAUAAAAUUGAUUAUUGCAUGAUAGUCAAUUAAAAGGUGCAACUGCACCACUACCAGAUGGACCUGCGUUGUAUUAGCUAGUUGGUGGGGUAACGGCUCACCAAGGCGACGAUACAUAGCCGACCUGAGAGGGUGAUCGGCCACACUGGGACUGAGACACGGCCCAGACUCCUACGGGAGGCAGCAGUAGGGAAUCUUCGGCAAUGGACGGAAGUCUGACCGAGCAACGCCGCGUGAGUGAAGAAGGUUUUCGGAUCGUAAAGCUCUGUUGUAAGAGAAGAACGAGUGUGAGAGUGGAAAGUUCACACUGUGACGGUAUCUUACCAGAAAGGGACGGCUAACUACGUG